rnacentral:rRNA from 1 species
GUGGGGAAUCUUCCGCAAUGGACGAAAGUCUGACGGAGCGACGCCGCGUGAGUGAAGAAGGCCUUCGGGUCGUAAAGCUCUGUCAUCAGGGACGAACGGCCGGUGGAGUGGAAAGCCACCGGAUUGACGGUACCUGAGAAGGAAGCCACGGCUAACUACGUGCCAGCAGCCGCGGUAAUACGUAGGUGGCAAGCGUUGUCCGGAAUUAUUGGGCGUAAAGCGCGCGCAGGUGGGAUCUUAAGUCCAUUUUUAAAGUUCGGAGCUCAACUCCGUGAUGGGAUGGAAACUGGGAGUCUUGAGUACCGGAGAGGAAAGCGGAAUUCCCCGUGUAGCGGUGAAAUGCGUAGAUAUGGGGAGGAACACCAGUGGCGAAGGCGGCUUUCUGGACGGUGUCUGACACUGAGGCGCGAAAGCCAGGGGAGCGAACGGGAUUAGAAACCCUAGUAGUCC